rnacentral:rRNA from 1 species
UACGAAGGGGGCUAGCGUUGCUCGGAAUCACUGGGCGUAAAGGGUGCGUAGGCGGGUCUUUAAGUCAGGGGUGAAAUCCUGGAGCUCAACUCCAGAACUGCCUUUGAUACUGAAGAUCUUGAGUUCGGGAGAGGUGAGUGGAACUGCGAGUGUAGAGGUGAAAUUCGUAGAUAUUCGCAAGAACACCAGUGGCGAAGGCGGCGAUCUGGGUAGAUACUGACGCUGAGGUGCGAAAGCGUGGGGAGCAAACAGG